rnacentral:lncRNA from 1 species
AAAAUAUUUCAUACCCAAGAUUUGUGGUCGUCUAUUUAUUUUCCUUACUUAUCAAUCUAAUUUUACACAAAUCUUUAUUUUACAGCUUAAGAGAAACCACAAUAACCCAAACAAUCAAAACACCAAAAACUAGAAUCCCAAAAAAGAUGAAUCAUUAAUGAUCACCUCUCUUUUUGUCUAAUCUUACAAAUAAAAUUCAAAACAAAUAUACCAAACCAAUCAAUUCAACUAAAACUCAACGACACAUACAUUGAGCCAGCUAAACAAAUACAAACUACACGGCCAACUAUUUAACAAUUUACAAACUUACUUUUGCAGAUGCUUACGAAGAAGACGAAGACGACAACCAAGAUCAGUGAAAUUACCUAAAAAAAGCAGAGUAAGUUACAAACUCUGAUAAACACAACUAACAAUGAUUUUUGUUUACAUAUUACUCAUCAAAUAAAAGAGAAACAAACAC